AACAUGGAUAACUGUGGUAAUUCUAGAGCUAAUACACGCAGGACAGUCGCAUUUAUUAGUCCAAAACCAAUUUUGGUGAUUCUGAAUAACUAUGGUUUCAAACCGGCAACCAUUCCUUCAAGUGUCUGCCUUAUCAACUUUCGAUGGUAGUUUAUUUGACUACCAUGGUUUCGACGGGUAACGGAGAAUUAGGGUUCGACUCCGGAGAGGGAGCCUGAGAAACGGCUACCACUUCUAAGGAAGGCAGCAGGCGCGCAAAUUACCCACUCUCAGCGAGGAGGUAGUGACGAAAAAUAACAAGAUGAUUCACUUAAUCAUUGGAAUGAGAACAAUCUAAACCUUUUAACGAGGACCUAGCGGAGGGCAAGUCUGGUGCCAGCAGCCGCGGUAAUUCCAGCUCCGCCAGUGUAUAUCUAUGCUGYUGCGGUUAAAAAGCUCGUAGUUGGAUCUUCUUUGGGCCUGGUCCUCCUAAGGGAGUGUCGUUGGUUUUCCCCUCAUGGCCUUCACCGGCUGUGUUGGGUGGCUAACAUUUUUACUUUGAAAAAAUUAGAGUGCUUAAAACAAGCGUUUGCUUGAAUAUUCUCGCAUGGAAUAAUGGAAUAGGAGAUUCUAUUUUGUUGGUUUUCGGAAAACGAGGUAAUGAUUAAGAGGGACGGACGGGGGCAUUCGUAUUUCGACGUUAGAGGUGAAAUUCUUGGA
rnacentral:rRNA from 1 species